rfam:Triticum urartu cultivar G1812 contig271509, whole genome shotgun sequence.
AUGAUACUCCCUUCGUCCCAAAAUUCUUAUCUUAAAUUUAUCUAGAUACGGAUGUAUCUAACACUAAAACAUAAAUAAAUACAUCCGUAUGUAGACAAAUAUAGGACAAGAAAUUUUGGGACAGAGAGAGUACUUA